rnacentral:rRNA from 1 species
UAGAUGCCGCACUAGGUCAGCCAUCGACAUGUUCAAGUUUGUGGGAGAGAGGUGACGUUCUUUUUGGAGCCUGGAACACAGAUGGAGCAUGGCUGUUGUCAGCUCGUGUGGUGAGAUGUUGGGUUAAGUCCCGCAACGAGCGCAACCCCCGUCCUUAGUUGCUACCAUUUAGUUGAGCACUCUAAGGAGACUGCCGGUGAUAAGCCGCGAGGAAGGUGGGGAUGACGUCAAGUCCUCAUGGCCCUUACGGGCUGGGCUACACACGUGCUACAAUGGCGGUGACAAUGGGAUGCUAAGGGGCGACCCUUCGCAAAUCUCAAAAAGCCGUCUCAGUUCGGAUUGGGCUCUGCAACUCGAGCCCAUGAAGUUGGAAUCGCUAGUAAUCGUGGAUCAGCACGCCACGGUGAAUACGUUCCCGGGCCUUGUACACACCGCCCGUCACACCAUGGGAGUUGGCUUUACCUGAAGACGGUGCGCUAACCAGCAAUGGAGGCAGCCGCCACGUAGUACAAGGGGU